UUGGUUUUGUAAUUGUGUAUUUAUGUAAGCUGAUAAACACCUUAAUUUUGUUUGGAAUUACCAUGAUAAAAAGUACUUUACUCUAUUCUACAUCCGCAGCUCCAUGAAUGACAUGAGACACUCCAGGAGACGGUGGUUGCAAUGCAAUAUCAACACCCCGCAACCCCAACCCUCCAAUGGAACCCAGAACCCUCCGGAGUUCCUCAGGACCUGUCGGCAUGAGUGAGGCGAACACAUCGUGCGUUGGAGGAAGAGUUGCAGUGACGACUUGGACCACAGGCCAGAAGCCUGAAAUAGAUUCUUUGAGAAUCUUAAAAGUCAAACAACUGGGCCUUGCGGGGAAGACUGAUGACGUGAGAAAAAAAGGAAAAAGCUGAUGAGCAGACGUGAGCGGCAGUGGUGCUGGUGGCGCAGGAUGUCCUGGAGGAGGACGACCUCAACUACCUCAAAGGAGCUGAUGCCAGCCUUGUGUCUGAUGGGGAAACAAGUGCACAUUUGUUGUGCUCUGUCUGAGAUGGAGAAGUGCGCGCCUUACUGGCGUAUUUCAUUGAUGCCAGCAAGCCCAGCCAGCGAGUGACCGAUAGUGGCCGGUUCUCCCUUCGUGACCCCCCCUUCUGCGGCCGACAAAGCUUGAAAUAUGAUUAAAUGUAAAUGUAAAAUAAGCAAUUAAAGAAAGAACAUUCAACAAAAUAAUUGUCUGUUAUAAUAUGAUUUUAGCUGGGAUUUAGCAGU